GACGAACGCUGGCGGCGUGCUUAACACAUGCAAGUCGAACGGUGAACGAGGGAGCUUGCUCCCUCCGGAUCAGUGGCGAACGGGUGAGUAACACGUGAGCAAUCUGCCCCGAACUCUGGGAUAAGCGUUGGAAACGACGUCUAAUACCGGAUACGACGCGGGAGGGCAUCCUCUCCGCGUGGAAAGAACUUCGGUUCGGGAUGAGCUCGCGGCCUAUCAGCUUGUUGGUGAGGUAACGGCUCACCAAGGCGACGACGGGUAGCCGGCCUGAGAGGGUGACCAGCCACACUGGGACUGAGACACGGACCAGACUCCUACGGGAGGCAGCAGUGGGGAAUAUUGCACAAUGGGCGCAAGCCUGAUGCAGCAACGCCGCGUGAGGGACGACGGCCUUCGGGUUGUAAACCUCUUUUAGCAGGGAAGAAGCGAAAGUGACGGUACCUGCAGAAAAAGCACCGGCUAACUACGUG
rnacentral:rRNA from 1 species